rnacentral:rRNA from 1 species
GGCGAACGGGUGAGUAACACGUGGGUGACCUACCCUCGAGUGGGGGAUAACAUCCCGAAAGGGGUGCUAAUACCGCAUGACAUCCUGUCUUUGAACAGAUGGACAUUAAAGCCGGGGAUCGCAAGACCUGGCGCUCGAGGAGGGGCUCGCGUCCGAUUAGCUAGUUGGUGGGGUAAUGGCCUACCAAGGCGACGAUCGGUAGCCGGCCUGAGAGGGCGGACGGCCACACUGGGACUGAGACACGGCCCAGACUCCUACGGGAGGCAGCAGUGGGGAAUUGUUCGCAAUGGGCGCAAGCCUGACGACGCAACGCCGCGUGGAGGAUGAAGAUCUUCGGGUCGUAAACUCCUUUCGAUCGGGACGAAUGGCUGGUGGUCUAACACACCAUCAGAGUGACGGUACCGAGAGAAGAAGCCCCGGCUAACUCCGUGCCAGCAGCCGCGGUAAUACGGGGGGGGCAAGCGUUGUUCGGAAUUACUGGGCGUAAAGGGCGCGUAGGCGGCCUACUAAGUCGGACGUGAAAUCCCUCGGCUCAACCGAGGAACUGCGUCCGAUACUGGCAGGCUGGAAUCCGGGAGAGGGAUGUGGAAUUCCAGGUGUAGCGGUGAAAUGCGUAGAUAUCUGGAGGAACACCGGUGGCGAAGGCGGCAUCCUGGACCGGUAUUGACGCUGAGGCGCGAAAGCUAGGGGAGCAAACGGGAUUAGAUACCCCGGUAGUCC